CAUCUUCUCGGGCGGUAUCUGACGUGUUUACUCCGGUGUUUAGCGGCUUGUGUGGUCGGCGGUCCGGCAGGGUGGCAGCGGCGGCGUCGCGGGGACCCAGCCCGGAUCUGGAGGCCCACUAUUCCCUUGGGAAGUCCUUGAACCCUGCAAGUUCUAGGGAGUGGCCAUGCUGGGGGCCCCCACUCCUUCAGGAGGCCCCAGGCAUCCUUCAGGAUCCAGGGGAGGUGGUCUCCAGGGAAACCUCCACCUUCAGAGUCCCCUGUAUUCAGGGAGUCACCUUCAGGGCUUCCUCACAUUUUGAGAACUUGCACACAGCACUUCCCCAACACCCGGACGGUCCCCGCAGCCCUCAGCGAGCAGAAACUACCUUCUAGGCUCACAAGCCUGACUAUGGCCCACCAAACCUGCAUCCUCCACCUGCUUCAAAUAUUUUCUCAAAACGAAGAAUGCCCUCUUUACAGAGAUGGAUGAAUGUCUCUUUUUCCCUGAUGCUGAUACCAGGACUUCUUUGAAGAUGAGCUUUUCUUCCCAGAGAACCAAGGUCAAGCUGACCUGCUGUGUAUGUGCUAAACUGGGGCAAACAUCGCCUUGUGACUGGAAAAAAUUGUGUUCCUGUCAUGCGUGAUACGAUUUGCUGUGGAGUGAUCUUCAUCUGGGAAACAGACUGACUUAGACUGUCACCAGGAGAGCUCCAUACCACAAAGCUUGGGCCAUUUCAUUCACAACUGGGGAUUGUCUUUUUUUUUUUUAAUUGAGUUCAUAACAGUUCACAUCAAUGUGAAAUUUCACUUGUACAUUAUUUCUUGUCUGUCACGACAUAGGUGCUUCCCUUUCACCC
rnacentral:lncRNA from 1 species